rnacentral:rRNA from 1 species
UUGGGAAUCUUGGACAAUGGGCGCAAGCCUGAUCCAGCCAUGCCGCGUGAGUGAUGAAGGCCUUAGGGUUGUAAAGCUCUUUUACCCGGGAAGAUAAUGACUGUACCGGGAGAAUAAGCUCCGGCUAACUUCGUGCCAGCAGCCGCGGUAAUACGAAGGGGGCUAGCGUUGUUCGGAAUUACUGGGCGUAAAGCGCGCGCAGGCGGCUUGGUAAGUUGGAGGUGAAAGCCCAGAGCUCAACUCUGGAACUGCCUUCAAAACUAUCAAGCUUGAGUACGAGAGAGGUGAGUGGAAUUCCCAGUGUAGAGGUGAAAUUCGUAGAUAUUGGGAAGAACACCGGUGGCGAAGGCGGCUCACUGGCUCGUUACUGACGCUCAGGCGCGACAGCGUGGGGAUCAAA